rnacentral:rRNA from 1 species
AGCGAACGCUGGCGGCAGGCCUAACACAUGCAAGUCGAACGAACCUUUCGGGGUUAGUGGCGGACGGGUGAGUAACACGUGGGAACGCGCCUUUAGGUUCGGAAUAACUCAGGGAAACUUGUGCUAAUACCGAAUGUGCCCUUCGGGGGAAAGAUUUAUCGCCUUUAGGGCGGCCCGCGUCUGUUUAGCUAGUUGGUUGAGGUAAUGGCUCACCAAGGCGACGAUCAGUAGCUGGUCGGAGAGGAUGAUCAGCCACAUUGGGACUGAGACAGGGCCCAAACCCUGGGGGAAGGGGGGAAGGGGGAUCCUGCGGCACUGGCCGAAGGCCGAGGGAGCCCGGGCGGGGUGAUGGUGGAGGGGUUAGGAUUGUAAAAUUCUUUCACCGGGGACGAUAAUGACGGUACCCGGAGAAGAAGCCCCGGCUAACUUCGUG